AUCGCAAGGACCUUGGCGAUAUAGGGAAUGAGUGGCAGGUUCAACACGAGCAGCACCAGAUUGCCAAUAUACAUAGAAAUGAUCACCGCCCAGAAAAUUUGCGGUUCAUCCGUCAUCAGGCGCGGGCC
rfam:Rhodobacteraceae bacterium SB2 pfor_12, whole genome shotgun sequence.